rnacentral:misc_RNA from 1 species
AUGACUUUAUUACCUCCACACACUAACUCUUUAGCAAUGUAAACAUUUUUUUGCAGUCGACGUGGAAAAUCGAAAAUGGAUUAUUCCAAAUUUUUGGACGAUAAUUUUGAUGCAAAAGAAUGGGUCAAUACAGCCUUUAGAUCACAAAAGGAUCCAGUUGCUGCUAAAGAUCAAUAUGCAACAACCCUGGUGAUGAAACUUCAAAUGUUUAUUCAGGAAGUGAACAACAUAAUAGAGGAAACCAGCCAGCAAGCUGUUCAAAAUUUACCAAGAGUGAUAAGAGAACUGGAUGCUGUGAAACAGGAAGCUGCUCUACUCCAGGAUCAGAUGAAAAUGGUCAAACAGGACAUUCAAAAGGUGGAACAUGACACAGCCAAAUCAAUGCAGACUCUGCUAAGACUGGAUGCAAUCAAAUCCCGAAUGACCUCAGCUGCAGAAGCCCUCAAGGUUAGGGAGUGGAAAAUAAAGACACCUAAUAAACUUGAAAAUUUAUAUUGCUUGAUUUCAUUUAAUCAGGCAAACUGAAUUAGUUAGAAUUUUGCACCAAUCUCACAAAUCUCACGUUUGAAGAUCAGAAUUUUUGUUUCCCUCAUUCAUUCUGACCACCUUAUUUUUACUUCCACAGGAGGCAGACAAUUGGACCACGCUGAGCUCAGAUGUGGAGGAGGUGUUCCAAUCUCAGGAUAUCAAGGCUAUAACAUUGAAACUGAAAGGGAUGCAAAACAGUUUGUUGAUGUUGGUUGACACACCUGACUAUGCAGACAGGUGUCAGCACCUGGAGACCCUCAAGAACCGCCUGGAGGCAGUGCUGAGCCCCCAGCUGGUGCAGGCCUUCACCACCCAGUCCCUGGAGACUGCCCAGACCUACACACAGAUCUUCACCGACAUUGACCGGGUCCCCCAGCUCUACAAGUACUACACCAGGUGUCACAAGGUGACUUUAUUGGGUGCAUGGAAGAAUAUCAUUGAAGCAAAUGCAGAUGACACGUUGAAAGAAUGGUUGACGGAAUAUUAUGACCUGCUUCUGUCAACUUGGCAUGCAGAGAUGAAGUGGUGUAAGCAAGUGUUUCCAGACCCCCUACCUAUCGUGUGUGAUCUGAUUAAGGAGACCCUGGAAUCCCUGGAUCCACCUCUUCAUUCAUGCAUUAACCUGUACACACAACACAGAGAUACACUGACUGGACUGAUAGAGCUCAAACAGAUAACAGAGAGAUUUGCCAGGAGUAUGGAGCAAGCUGUGGAAUCCAAUAUGAUUGCGGAGAACUGUAGUCAUGUGACCAGUCUAGAUCACCUGUUGCUGGAGUUGUACGCCCCUUAUCGGCACCACAUCUGUACCUACCAAAGCCUAGAGGAGGAGACACUUGGAAAAAAUCUGGAUUCCAUUAAACUGGAUCAUGAAGAAAUCUUUGAGACAGUUCAAUUGUUAGGCAGUUCAGUGAAUAAACUAUUUAACUUUGCAAAGGAGGCCAAUGAAAGAUGCCUGAACUUAACCAAUGGAUGUGGAUAUUUGUUUAUGAUGGAUGCCUUAAAGACAUAUUUUAGUAAUUACUGUAAAGAAUUUCGGAGAGUGUUGACCAAUAUCAAGGAGAAGUGUAGAACAAGUCGGCGAGCGGGGGAGGAAGAGGACUGGACCCACUUCCAGCACACGCUGAGGAUCAUCCAGACCUGUGGUGAUCUUAUUAUGCAUAUGGACGAAUUAGAUGGAAAUAUUUUGAGCAGUAUGAUGCAGACGAUAGCACAUUACACAAAUCCAAGCUCACCUGUAAAAGAGAUCGGAAAGCUUCGGUUCUUUGGGAAGGUUUCUGUAAUUGAGGCUCAUGCUGCAUUGUUUUUAAAAAAUCCCCAUGACAUCGAGAACCUAGAGGUCCUAGUUACUAAGCUUGGAGAAGGGGACCUUCCCUCUGUGUUGGAGGACACCAAACGGGAGCUGUGUAAACUGAGUGAAGAUGUUCAUAAGUUUUCUUUUGAUAUUGUGUUUGGUACACUGAGGGGUUACCUAGCAGAUGUCAGCAACAUGGAGAUCUGGACAUCAAAGAGUGCUGGAGGAGCUUUGACCUCUGACCUUCCGACCUUUAGCCUUUCUCCACAGGAAUACAUAACAAAAGUUGGUCAGUUCCUGAUGACACUACCCCAGCAUCUGGAGCCGUUCACCAUGCAGGACAACCCCUCAGUAUUAGUGGCUCUAAAGCAUGGGAAACUACCUUACACAGAUGAAACAGAGCUCCCAGAGCAUGUGGCAGACCUGUGGUUAGAGUCCAUCGCCCGAGGAACCAUGCACCUGUAUUGUGAGCAGAUUCUAAAGAUCCAGGAACUGUCCAACCAUGCUGUCAAACAGCUCAUCACAGAUAUAGAUUACCUCUGUAAUGUGUUGGACGACCUCGGCCUGAUUGCCUCGGAGAAUCUGAAGAACAUAGACACCCUACUGAAGGCGUCGGCAGAGGAGUACCUGGAUGUAGCCGAAUCCAUGCCUCAAAGACUCUCACAUGCCAUAAGCAACAUGAGGAAUAUUGAACUGUAACCAUAGACUAUUCAGUAUGGUAUCUCUGCAUCAAAAAUAUUCUUACUGCAUACAGCUACAUGUAUAUUGUGAAAUAUGAAUACAUGGGAUUUUGUUAUUUUUACAUGUGUAUAUUUAUUAUGAAAAUAAAUGUAUAA